rnacentral:rRNA from 1 species
GAUUGACCUCGGAUCAGGUAGGGAUACCCGCUGAACUUAAGCAUAUCAAUAAGCGGAGGAAAAGAAACCAACAGGGAUUGCCUCAGUAACGGCGAGUGAAGCGGCAACAGCUCAAAUUUGAAAUCUGGCUCCUUCGGGGCCCGAGUUGUAAUUUGCAGAGGACGUUUCGGGUGCGGCCCGGUCUAAGUCCCUUGGAACAGGGCGUCAUAGAGGGUGAGAAUCCCGUAUGUGACCGGUGACCAACCCCAUGUGAAACCCCUUCGACGAGUCGAGUUGUUUGGGAAUGCAGCUCAAAAUGGGUGGUAAAUUCCAUCUAAAGCUAAAUACUGGCCAGAGACCGAUAGCGCACAAGUAGAGUGAUCGAAAGAUGAAAAGCACUUUGGAAAGAGAGUCAAACAGUACGUGAAAUUGUUGAAAGGGAAGCGCUGGCAACCAGACCUGCCCCGGGCGAUCAGCGGGUGUUCUCACCCGUGCACUCGCCCGCGAUCAGGCCAGCAUCGGUUUCGGCGGUCGGAUACAGACCCGGGGAACGUGGCUCUCUUCGGGGAGUGUUAUAGCCCCGGGUGCAAUGCGGCCAGCCGGGACCGAGGACCGCGCUUCGGCUAGGAUGCUGGCGUAAUGGUUGUCAGCGACCGU